rnacentral:rRNA from 1 species
UGCCGCCGCUGGUUCGUCGGGGUGUGGUGUGCAGUGCCGGACCGACACCUACUCCGCUUGUGGUUGGUGGGCGUUUCUAGCCCGCGGCUGCUGGCGCGCGUGCGUCCGUCGCCGUUGGUUGGGGGCUUCGACUCCGGGGCGCGCGGCCGCGGCGUUGUCUUUUUUGUCCCCUCUCGCUCUGUGCCGGCGCGUUGCCGUUGUCCCCUCCUCUUGUCUAGGACGGCGGUGGCCACUGUACCGCCGUGUUUACUUUGGCUGUGCUGCGCGGCCGGCCCCUAGCAGUACCGCCGCCACCACGAUGCUCGUGACUCGUGUGCUGUGCCGGACCUAAAGGAACGUUCUUCUGCAUCGAGGCUAGCGCACGGGGCCACCAACCCAAGUUGGCUUAGGAAGAACACAUCGGCCGUACAGCAGGUUGAGGAGGAGCCGACGAGGCGGCGGCGGGAGGUUGUCGUCGGGAGGAGGUAGCCGGCGGGGCGGCGGCAGCGGCAGGUGGAGGUUAAGCAGGAGCGGCCGCGGUAGGUCGAGGUUGCUGGGGAGCGGAGGCGGACGCGUCGGGUUCAGGGUACGGCGAGGCUGCAGCGGCCGUUCCCAAGGCAGAGGUGGUCGGGUUAGGAGGUCUCCCAGGCCACUGAGCUCGUCCAGCAGUGUCCGAAGACGCGUGGCACAGUCGGGGUUGUGGUGCCGGCUCUAGUAAAAGCGGCGGCGGCCCCGCCGCUACGAGGAGCGCGAGGAGUAGCGCCGGACGCAGACGACGAGCUCCUCCUGCCGCGGCUCCGCCUCCGCCUUCGGAGUGUUAGGGUACGUAAAGAUGCGGCUAUGGAGGCCGUUGUUUCGGUCGUCGUGCAUGAUGUGGCCGCCCGGCGUCGGCGUCACCGUCUCGCCGUGGCCGCGACCCGGCAGCUGCUCGUGCAGGCCGGGUGGGCCCCGUCGGACCGGGAACGGCGGGCUGUACUUGAGCCCGCAGAUGAGGUCGGGCGCGCUGGUCGGCUGAAGUGGCGGACGUGGCGUGCUCUGCGACCCCGAGCCGUCCCCGUGCAAGUGGAUGCUCCUCGAGCGCCGCCGCUGCCCCCCGAAGAGCGUCCGCUUGGACGAGCCCGUCCCGCCCAAGCCCAUGCACGUGUUCCCCCACGAGGGGUCGCCGUCCCGCCACCGGCACUUCGUCGAGUUCAGGCCCUCGCCAGUCCCCCUCGCGCUCAAGGUCCGGCUCCACCUGUAGUAGCCGGCCCACGUGGUGGCGGUGGAGCACAGGGAGCAACCGGUGACGUAGCGGCCGCGGUCGGCGUACGAGCAGAUGCUCAAGCAGGGGUUGUUCUGCGAGCUCAAGGUGGAGGUACCCCUUCCCAACGGCCGCUACCGUACCGGCUGCUCCGACGCGUAGCGCGAGCCCCGCCGCUUCCCCGAGCGGAUGGACGUGCUUCUGACGGUAGGUGCCUAGUAGGUGGCGCUGUAGUUCAGCCGGUUGUAGGAGGACCUGUUGUUGAAGCUUCGGUACCACCGCCUGAAGCCCGACCGGUUCGACUGCAUGCUGCCGUAGUGCGUGCAGAGCUGCGCCCAGUACCCGUGCAAGCCCAUGGACCGCGGCCUCAUGCGCAGCUCGCCCUUCGACUGCCUCUUCAGCCUGCAGAGUGCCGCACUACGACCAGCUCGAGGACUGCCCCGCCGCCGGGUAGCUGCGGUGGCGCGUGGACCAGGACCUCCUGCCGGAGCAGCUUACCCGCUCCGGCCGGGACAGCGCGCGCGAGCGGCUGCCGCUGAUGCCGCGGCACCGGCUGGGCUCCGACGUCCCGUCGAUGCUGGGCCACCUCUACCGCGCGCACCAGCGGUCGCGGCGGCGGACGCAGGCGGUGAGCCGGUUCUUCGCGGGCUUCUACUCGGUCCACGGCUACGGUAUCGUGAGCGGCCGCGGCGUGUGAAGUGUGCGUGAGACAGAGGGUACCUAAAAGUACCGCACACCGCUACCACUGAAAUACAAAAUGGAGCCCACGUCUAGCACUCCCGCGACCUCCCGCUGUACAGCGACCUCCUGGACUUGCUGCCCCACGCCGGCCCCGUCUCGUCCGACAAGCCCCUCCUCCGCCCCAGCAUGUCGAGGCUGUACUUGGCCUGGUUUCUCCACCGGCACCGCUCGGGGCUCAUGUCGCCGUCCAAGCCUGCCGGGAGCGGCCAGUCGUCGCUGUCCGGAUUGAGGCUCCUCUGCUCAGGCCACCUCUCUGUCGGCGGCGUGGAGACUGGUUAAAAGACUAGGAGAACGGCAUGCAGACCCAUCAAACAAAUACACGAUAAAGAUUGUAGAACGGAGUACGAGGCACUGACCGAAAUUUUAAACAAGUGUUUUCUCACAUGUAGAUAAAAGGGUAACAUAAAAACAACAAGAAACUGUAUAUGAGGCAGGCAUUUGAUUAUAUUUUCGC